GUCAUAUGCUUGUCUCAAAGAUUAAGCCAUGCAUGUCUCAGUACAAGCCAAAUUAAGGUGAAACCGCGAAAGGCUCAUUAAAUCAGUUAUGGUUCCUUAGAUCGUACCCACAAUUACUUGGAUAACUGUGGUAAUUCUAGAGCUAAUACAUGCAAAGAGCUCCGACCGGAGACGGAAGGAGUGCUUUUAUUAGAUCAAAACCAAUCGGUGGCGGGUUCGCUCGUCAUCGUACAACUUGGUGACUCUGAAUAACUUUACGCUGAUCGCACGGUCAUCGCACCGGCGACGCAUCUUUCAAAUGUCUGCCUUAUCAACUGUCGAUGGUAGGUUCUGCGCCUACCAUGGUUGUAACGGGUAACGGGGAAUCAGGGUUCGAUUCCGGAGAGGGAGCCUGAGAAACGGCUACCACAUCCAAGGAAGGCAGCAGGCGCGCAAAUUACCCACUCCCGGCACGGGGAGGUAGUGACGAAAAAUAACGAUACGGGACUCAUCCGAGGCCCCGUAAUCGGAAUGAGUACACUCUAAACCCUUUAACGAGGAUCAAUUGGAGGGCAAGUCKGGUGCCAGCAGCC
rnacentral:rRNA from 1 species